UACGAAGGGUGCAAGCGUUAGUCGGAAUUACUGGGCGUAAAGCGUGCGUAGGCGGUUUCUUAAGUCCGUUGUGAAAGCCCUGGGCUCAACCUGGGAACUACAGUGGAUACUGAGAGGCUAGAGUGUGUCAGAGGAUGGUGGAAUUCCCGGUGUAGCGGUGAAAUGCGUAGAGAUCGGGAGGAACAUCAGUGGCGAAGGCGGCCAUCUGGGACAACACUGACGCUGAGGCACGAAAGCGUGGGGAUCAAACAGG
rnacentral:rRNA from 1 species